GAGAAUCGCUUGAACCCGGGAGGCGGAGGUUGCAGUGAGUGGAGAUCAUGCCACUGCAUUUCAGCCUGGGCGACAGAGAGAGCCUGCAUCUCGGGGAAAAAAAAAAAAAGUAGUAGUAACCACACCACCUAUUGCAUAGGGAUGUUGUGAGGGUUAAAUUAGGUAAUGUCUGUGAUGUUUGUUGAUCAGCACCCAACACUUAGUAAGCCCUCAAUUAAGCAUUAAUCAUUAUUAUGAGUGUUGCUACAAUUUUGUCAUUUCAAGGUAUUGUGGGUUUCAGAUCUGCCCACAAGAGGGCACUGGUGACACAGCUCUGCCUCAAAAGGUUUCCAGUUGAAAGACCAGGCAGCUUUGCUUGUGUCUAAGGAACUAAGGGUCCGAUUUCUCAUGAACUGCUGAACCACAGAUUUUAGAGCUGAAAGACACACUGCAAGUGAUCUAAUCCAAUCAUCAGAUGUUGCAGUUAGAAGCCACAGGCGGGUAAAUGUGGACCAGGUGAGUACGACUUACAAAACCAACAGUCACGGGAAAAGCAACUUCACAUGCAUUCUCUGUGGAAUUGAAAGGUAGGACAGAAACACCAUCUUUCUGGGAACAAAAAUGCACCAAAAGUGUUAACGGUAGUGCCAGGCUGAAAUGAAAAGAAGGCACUGAGGUGUUUGUAUGUGUGUGUCUCUGUGUGUGUGAGAAAACCAGAGAGAGAAGAGAUAGGUCAUGGAGAUAUAUAUAUAUAUAUAUAUUUUAAGAUGAAAACAACAGAUACUGGUUCUUUCUUCUGGACCAGCUCAGGAGACCAAAAUAUUCAAGAUUGUCUUUGACAGGCUAAGCCUGAGAAUGUCCCAUACCCCUUCUCUUCUAAGGGGGAACUGUCCCACUUGCAGCCCCUGCAACUCAGCACCUGUUGGAUCCCUCCCGCUCCUCUUCAACCGCACCUGACCCCCGGGUUCCCAUUCCUUAACCUGGCCUGGGACAUUCAGCUCAUCACCUGGUCUGAAAGAUGCGUUGGACCUGUGAGAUCCCUGCUUUUCAAGAUCUAAAGGAUCAGAAGAUGGCAUGCAAGUGAAUGAUGAACAUAAUGCAACAUAGUGGUUGUCACAGGUGAAGAGUGGAGCACAGGAUCAGGGAGAGGCACUCCAGAUCUUUGAAGAACUUUAAUAAAAUAUCUGUAAAGGAAGUAAAAAAAUACAAAAGUCCAAGAGGACAAAGUGGAUUGAAUAUGAAACAGCAUCUGGUGAGAAAAUUUUCAACAAAAAAUUUGAUUGAUGGAAGAUUUGUGACAAUGUUGGUGUCUAUAGAGGGGAAGUUUGAUGGGAAAUGAGUGAUUCCUCUUCAGAGGCACAAAAAGGCUUAAAACAGGUGUGAGAUACCUUGAGUCAAAGGUGGGAAUGGGGGCAUUUUCUGGAAGGCUGUAUGUGGAGUGGUUAGACAUCCUCCCCUGUCUUCAUGAAGCUAGGCAAGUGCCCUCUCAGAGCCCAGACUGGAGUACAGUGACGCGAUCGUGGCUCACUGCAACCUCCACCCCCAGGUUCAAGCAAUUCUCCUGCCUCAGCCUCCUAAGCAGCUGGGACUACAGGUGCAUGCCACCAUGC